GACGAACGCUGGCGGCGUGCUUAACACAUGCAAGUCGAACGGAAAGGCCCUGCUCUUGUGGCGCGCUCGAGUGGCGCACGGGUGUGUAUCACGCGAGUAACCUCCCCCUGACUUUGUGAUAACUCUACGAAACUCGGGCUCAUACCCGAUAUGAGCUCCUGCUGCACGGUGUUCGUUGGUAAGUUUCGGCGGUUGUGGAUCGACUCGCGGGUUACCAGCUUCUUGGUGGGGUAGUGGCUUACCAAGGCGUUGACGGGUAGCCGGCCUGAGAGGGUGACCCGCCGCAUUGGGACUGAGAGGCGGCCGAAACUCCUACGGGAGGCAGCAGUGGGGAAUAUUGAACAAUGGGCGGAAGCCUAAUGCAGAAACGCCGCGUGCGGGAAGACGGCCUUCGGAUUGUAAACCGCUUGCGCCUGUGACGAAGCGUGAGUGACGGUAAUGGGUAAAGAAGGACCGGCUAACUACGUG
rnacentral:rRNA from 1 species